rnacentral:rRNA from 1 species
AUUGAACGCUGGCGGCAGGCCUAACACAUGCAAGUCGAGCGGAUGAGUGGAGCUUGCUCCAUGAUUCAGCGGCGGACGGGUGAGUAAUGACUAGGAAUCUGCCUGGUAGUGGGGGACAACGUGUCGAAAGGAACGCUAAUACCGCAUACGUCCUACGGGAGAAAGUGGGGGAUCUUCGGACCUUACGCUAUCAGAUGAGCCUAGGUCGGAUUAGCUAGUUGGUGGGGUAAAGGCUCACCAAGGCGACGAUCCGUAACUGGUCUGAGAGGAUGAUCAGUCACACUGGAACUGAGACACGGUCCAGACUCCUACGGGAGGCAGCAGUGGGGAAUAUUGGACAAUGGGCGAAAGCCUGAUCCAGCCAUGCCGCGUGUGUGAAGAAGGUCUUCGGAUUGUAAAGCACUUUAAGUUGGGAGGAAGGGCAGUAAGUUAAUACCUUGCUGUUUUGACGUUACCAACAGAGUAAGCACCGGCUAACUUCGUGCCAGCCGCCGCCGUAAAAC